rnacentral:rRNA from 1 species
GUAGGUGGCGAGCGUUGUCCGGAUUUAUUGGGUUUAAAGGGUGCGUAGGCGGCCCUAUAAGUCAGUGGUGAAAUAUCGCAGCUUAACUGUGAGGGUGCCAUUGAUACUGUAGGGCUUGAGUGAAUUUGAGGUAGGCGGAAUUGACGGUGUAGCGGUGAAAUGCUUAGAUAUCGUCAAGAACACCGAUAGUGAAGACAGCUUACCAAGCUUCAACUGACGCUGAGGCACGAAAGUGUGGGGAUCAAACAGGAUUAGAUACCCUGGUAGUCCACACUGUAAACGUUGAUUACUCGCUGUUGGCGAUACACAGCCAGCGGCUAAGCGCAAGCGAUAAGUAAUCCACCUGGGGAGUACGCCGGCAACGGUGAA